UACGUAGGGUGCGAGCGUUAAUCGGAAUUACUGGGCGUAAAGCGUGCGCAGGCGGUUCGUUAUGUCCGUUGUGAAAGCCCCGGGCUCAACCUGGGAAUGGCAAUGGAAACUGGCGGGCUAGAGUGUGGCAGAGGGGGGUGGAAUUCCGCGUGUAGCAGUGAAAUGCGUAGAGAUGCGGAGGAACACCGAUGGCGAAGGCAGCCCCCUGGGCUAGCACUGACGCUCAGGCACGAAAGCGUGGGGAGCAAACAGGAUUAGAUACCCUGGUAGUCCACGCCCUAAACGAUGAUCACUAGGUGUUGGCGGAGCAAUCUGCUGGUACCGUAGCUAACGCGUGAAGUGAUCCGCCUGGGGAGUACGGUCGCAAGAUUAAA
rnacentral:rRNA from 1 species